GAUGAACGCUGGCGGCGUGCCUAAUACAUGCAAGUCGAACGCUGGAGAUCUAGCUUGCUAGAUCGAAGGAGUGGCGAACGGGUGAGUAAUACAUAAGCAACCUACCCACGAAGACUGGGAUAAUCUCUGGAAACGGGGACUAAUACCGGAUAGGUAAUCGGAAGGCAUCUUCUGGUUAUUAAAGGUUAAAAACACUGGUGGAUGGGCUUAUGGCGCAUUAGUUAGUUGGUUAGGUAACGGCCCACCAAGACGAUGAUGCGUAGCCGGCCUGAGAGGGUGAACGGCCACAGUGGGACUGAGACACGGCCCAGACUCCUACGGGAGGCAGCAGUAGGGAAGUUUCGGCAAUGGGGGCAACCCUGACCGAGCAACGCCGCGUGAGUGAAGACGGCCUUCGGGUUGUAAAGCUCUGUUGUAAGGGAAGAACGGUAGAUAGAGAAUAUCUAAGUGACGGUACCUUACCAGAAAGCCACGGCUAACUACGUG
rnacentral:rRNA from 1 species